rnacentral:lncRNA from 1 species
UCGCUGGAUCAAUACUAUUUGAACCAGUAUAUAAGUAAAAUUAGUUUAGUUUAGGUUUUCUCCUGUAGUAGCACUAUCAUCAUCAAUAAGAGAUGAUCCUUACUGGACCUCUAGGAAGAACAGUUUAGAACUGGAAGAGCUAUCCAGUAUAAUAAGUGAAGUUUUUCGUGCUUACAGUAUAUUCAUUGUUUAAAUUAACAAGCAUCUUUACUCCUGCAGUGAUAAGGUAUCUAUCUACACCGAUCUUUGUGAUGGUCUCCCUGUGGGAUUCGUAUCAGUUAAAGGAACUCAAUCUUGAUAAAUACCGUCCCGUACAUUUGCCACCAUCAUCACACAAAGAGGCUUUGUAUUUAGCGCAGUUUGGGAACAACACGUACAAAUCUAUACGAAGGGUAAGUUUGAAUCGUGUUAUGUUAGACGAGGGGGGCAUUGGGGGGUAUUCAAUACCGUAAUACCGAAAGCAAAUUUUGUCAAUUACCGCAGUUUUUGAGUCCAAAAUUGCAAAUACCGUGUACCGCAAGAUUUCCAAUACCGUAAUACCGCAAUUUUUC